CUACGGGGCGCUGCAGUGAGGAAUAUUGCACAAUGGGGGGAACCCUGAUGCAGCAACGCCGCGUGGAGGAUGACGCAUUUCGGUGUGUAAACUCCUUUUAUAUGUCAAGAAAAUGACGGUAGCAUAUGAAUAAGCACCGGCUAACUCCGUGCCAGCAGCCGCGGUAAUACGGGAGGGUGCAAGCGUUACUCGGAAUCACUGGGCGUAAAGGAAGCGUAGGCGGGCUUGUAAGUCAGGUGUGAAAUCCUACAGCUUAACUGUAGAACUGCACUUGAAACUACGAGCCUAGAGUAUGGGAGGGGGAGAUGGAAUUAGUGGUGUAGGGGUAAAAUCCGUAGAUAUCACUAGGAAUACCUAAAGCGAAGGCGAUCUCCUGGAACAUAACUGACGCUAAGGCGUGAAAGCGUGGGGAGCAAACAGGAUUAGAUACCCUGGUAGUC
rnacentral:rRNA from 1 species